UGGCGUGUUGUGUAAUUGUGAGGUCUGAGGUUUAAGUCCUGGGAUUCACAAUGGAAUAUUUAUUUUAUUGUUUGAGUUGUGUAGGAGGUGGAGUUGGACUGGAACUCUGUGAUUGAAGUGGUCAUAAAAAAAAGAAAAAUAAGGAAUUUUCCUAAUGGUUGAAAGUAAUCUCACAUCUGGAAGCUAACAUGAGCAUUGGUGAGAAGCUAGCUUGGUGAGGGGGGAAGUGAUUAAGACUUAAUGCAGGAUGUGCCAAAGUUGGUGAUUGUGAACUUCGGCGUAUUUUCAUAAACAGGUGUGUAUUCACGCCCUUUUU
rnacentral:lncRNA from 1 species